rnacentral:rRNA from 1 species
UACAGAGGGGGCAAGCGUUGUUCGGAAUUACUGGGCGUAAAGGGCGCGUAGGCGGCCUGUUAAGUCGAACGUGAAAUCCCCCGGGCUCAACCCGGGAACUGCGUCCGAUACUGGCAGGCUUGAAUCCGGGAGAGGGAUGCGGAAUUCCAGGUGUAGCGGUGAAAUGCGUAGAUAUCUGGAGGAACACCGGUGGCGAAGGCGGCAUCCUGGACCGGCAUUGACGCUGAGGCGCGAAAGCCAGGGGAGCAAACGGG